CAGAACUGGGCCACAAACGUUCCAGUACCUGAGUUUGUGUGUUCUGUUCUCAUCCAGCCAAGCACAUGGCAGGAAUGCUCUAAACCUAGUCCGACUCUCAGUAAUAGAGCCUACACUGUCCCCAGUGUGAUAGCCAUCUGUCUUGAAGGGAUUUUUACGAUGCUGCCGGAAUCUGCCUCCUUGGAACAAUGCACACCUCCACUCAACCUGACUCCCAGCUUAAGGCAACUCUCACCUCAUUCAAGUGGGAGUGAGAGCCACAGUGCUUGUCAUUUCCCGUCUGGUGUGCUCUGUUUCAUGGAGCGUCUUUAGCCUUGUGUCUCAGAUAGAUGAUCCCAGUCGCUGGACUUUGUUUUCACACAUUGCAUAUAUCAGCACAUUUAAAUGACAAAAGGAAUCUAAGAAGUCUGGUGGGCUGAGCACACGUCUCUCUUCAUCCUCCUGUAGGAGCACUGGGAUGCCCGCCCUCCUGUAGUAACAUUGGGAUGCCUGCCCUCCUGGAGGGAGAGGAGGCAAUUUGUACCACACUGAGGUCUCACUCUUCGGAGAACCUACUGAGUUCGAAUAUUUGCGAAAAGUGCUGUUUGAAUAUAUGAUGGGUCGAGAGACCAAGACCAUGGCCAAAGUUAUAACUACUGUCCUAAGAUUCCCUGAUGAUCAAGCUCAGAAAAUUUUGGAAAGAGAAGACGCUCGGCUGAUGGUAAGUUCUAGAAGUAAGCUAUAGUGAGGCAGCUUCCUUACAGCUAUUCUCAGCCUCACUUGGAGAGCCUUUCUCUUUGUUUGUAAAAGAAAUUGAAAGUUUUUGCACCACAGCUAAACAGUGGCGAGGGAUGGGCUUUAAGAAAGUUUAGUCCCAGGCAGAUUUGAUGGGGACGCCAAAGGGAAAGAGUUGUUAGUAGUGUGGACACUUGAUGUCACAUUGCGGUGUGGGAUUCCCAGAGCCUCAGCUGCUGAUGGAAAGGAUGGACAAGACAUUUGUCCCUUUGCUUCAAAACAGCACGGGGUCCCCUCUGCUGUGUUUUUCAUUUGCAUUGAUUCUAGAGAUUUUAAUCGGUUUUUAGCCAAUAAGAAUGGCCCAGCAGAUGAAGGCAGACAGUGAACAACACCCAAAUCAAAGCACAACUCUCGCAGACCAAAGACUGCGCACAUCUGAAGGGAAAGGGCCAGACAGCAUGGGAUCCGUGGCCCUGGAGUAAAGCAGCCUCAUCCCCCACCUCCUUUGCCCUGAGGCUGACCUGCACAGACUGUAAACAAACCUCCGCUGCCCUGACCCUUUGCUGCAGCAUCUGCCUCUGUAGUUGUUACAAGAAUGUAGGAAAUGGGAAGCUGUGAAGGACAUGGAAGGAAGCCCCACUUUUAGGGAUCAGUGGUGACUUCAUUUAAUCAUAGGCGAAUACAGGUAGGCCUGGCAGACCAUUCAGUGACAAAAACAGAUGAGUGGCAAUUGUGAGGUAGUGCAUGAACAUGAAGGGGGAUUGAUCCUACAAGUUGAAAAUUUACCAAACUGAUUUAUCUUUUUAUCAGUCUAAAGAGAGUCUUGAUAUUUACAGAGUGACUCAGAACCCUGUCCUGCAAGUUUAAGAGAAUUUCAUUUACAAAGUAUAUUGUAAUUGGCUGAAAUUCUAAUCAAGAGAGUCUUUUGUUAUAGAAAAUUCUGUUCUUAAUUUUUCCGAAAAGCGCCCUUUCUCAUUGAAGUGCUACAGACUCCAGAAACAUGGACCCGCACAUGUGUGCCCAGUGACUGUGCGGGCAGAGCCUCCUCACCUUGGUUUGCCAGGCCUGGUUUCCUUGCUCACUUAGUCACUGUGCUCUGCUUUCACGCGUCCUCCAUGUUGUCUGUUGUGCCUGUGCUUUCUGGGGCUGGAGACUGAAAACCAGAGCCUUAUGCAUGCAGGAGCCUGACCACCGAGCUUCGUCCUCAGCCUCACCUGUAAUUCAUGUAAUUCGGAUCAGUCCUUGACUGACUGCUGGUUUUGUUGGUCUCACUCAUUUCCCCUAAGUUGAUAAGUGGUCAGCACUUUCUAGCAUUUUAGAUGGAGGCUCCACCCCCCACGAGGCCCCAUCAUGUGACUUUGGAAACACAGGCAGAUACGACAACGCUCAGUGAAACCAGUGCAUGUGUAACGUGUCUUUAACUGAGUGGUUCUGACUCACACUGUCAGGAAAGGACACAACAGGCCACUUUCUAAGAGGUUGCAAACAAUUCAGAAGAAUUACCUAGAAAAUCUUUCAUAAUAUUCAACAGCAGACUAUUCGCCCCAUGCCAAGAUCGUCAGAUUAAUAGCAUGGCAGGCUGGGGAAGAUGCCUCUAAUCCUAGCACUUAAGAGGUUGAAGCAGAAGAAUCCCAGUUCAAAGUUGUUAUGGGUCACAAAGUGGGCAACUCCCUCGACAUAAAACAUUGAAUAGUUCCACUAGAUUCCUCUUUAUUCAAUCUGUAAGAGGGUUUCACCUUAAAGGCAUAGACACGGAUGUCCACAUUCUUAUGCUUCUGCAGAUUCUCUUCCAAAAUACUAACCUUACUAUGCUAUGGGUAUUGAAAGACCAUUUUCUAGUUUGUGUUUUCAUUUUGCUCUUUUACUAACUUAAUUGUGCAGACACACACACACACUUUUCAUAGACUUGUCACACCAUCCAGAAAUAAACCCAGCCCUGGUUAACAGCCUCUAUGGUCAUAGUGCCAUUUCCAAGCAAACCAUGACGUAGUUAAUGAUGUCCCGGGAUGGUGGUCACCUGGAGUUAGGGUGUGGGGCUCAUUGAAGGAGUUUCUACAGUAAGCAAACUGACAUGCAGCUCCUUCCCAUUAGAAUUGCAUGGUGCAUCAUCCUGCAGCUGCUCUUGACAGUCUGCUGAAUUAUGAGCAAAUUAUUCAGUGAUAAAAAUGACACCUUCUAGGAAUGAGAAUUCAAUAAACAGGUGUAUUGUAUAUAUGAAUUUCAAAAUCAUAGACUUCUAAAAAUUCAUGGGAGUAAGCUGAAAUUAUGUAAAUCAAAUUUUAAUGUAUCUGGUAAUGGGAUUGUAAGAAAGAUCACUUUAAACAUAACCCUCUGAUUACUCGCAGUUAAGUGCACCUUAGCAUGAAGAGCAUCUUUCAGCAUUUAAACCUUUAAGUGAAAAUUGAAAGUAAAAUUCUAGGCUGGGGAAGUAUUACAUAGUCCUCUGCUUUGCCCAAUGACCCUGAAUUUGAAACGAGCUUAGGGACCGUCUGUAAUUCUGCCACGUCAUAUACACAGUGUGACCUCUGCACUAUUUGUCUGAAACUAACCCAAUAAGCUUUUCCUCUUGGCUUUGUAGUUCACCUCACCUCGCAGUGGCAUCUUCUGAUAACCGUCAGUCUGUGCUUAGUAAGCAUGUGGUGAGUGGACAGUCAUGUUUGUAUCUUUGGUACAGAAAUCACGUAUGUUGUAUGCCAUCGACCAUUUUGCUGGGGUUAUUUUGUUAUUUUUAAUGGGCAUGAUUGUGACACUGGGUUAAUGUAGCUGCUUUCUGGUGAUUCUGUGAAACAGACUGAUACAUAGACAUCACUGAGAAGGAAUGGCCUUCAGAAUCACCACAGGUGAUGAUGGAGAGGUGAAGGGUAACUAACGUGAGGGUGCAAGUGAG
ensembl:lncRNA